GAAGAUCUGUCAAGUUGGCUUCAUGGCCAAUAUAAAUGUUGACAUGGUCCUCGAUUUGGACGAAUGCCAAUGAGUUUACAUUGGUUUUUCAUGAACGUCGUACGUGCAUGGCCAAUGUGAUUGUAUGGAGCUUUUCGUCAGGUCUAAAUUAUAGUCCAAACACCCAAUGUGAGUGUUUAGAAGCUCAAUUUCAUUUAUUUGUUGCACAAAAGCCAUCUAGAUUUCGCCUUUCAGAAGGCAUUCUUGAAAAUGACUCAAAAAGACUAAAAUAUACGUAAAACUCCUGAAAAACCUAAAUGCAAAGACAUUAAGAGCAAAGAACAAAAGAAAUAAGAUUAAUAAGAUUGUCAAUAAGAUAUAUCCACAAGCCACUUUCUGUAGAUUCACUACCACUGUUCAUGUUAAAAUUCUUUCUACAAAAACACACAAAAGAAAUAGAAAUUAAAGGGGAAAAAAAAAGAGCACGUGGAAAUUUGGAACUCCAGUUGGGCAGGUAGGUGAAAGUUGACAUCUUUGCACCUCCAGGUAGGUGACUUGUUGUGCUUAAUAUUUACUUGUGCAUAAUUCUGUUCUCUUUUCAUAUCCAUUGUCUUCUAUAAUGUUGUUAUAGUUAAAAUGAAACACUAUGAACUUACAUUUCUCAAAAAGAAAACAAUAUUAACUUGCACAUAAUAUUUUUGUUGAAUAAAUAAUUAAAUAUCGCCUUGAACAAAAAAAUAGAACUUGGUAAUAUAGGACUACCAAAACAGAAAAGAAAUAAGAACGUGGCCCAAAAUAAGAAGAAUGAAUCGAUUGAUAAUUUAUAAUUGGAAAUAUAUGUGGCAACAAAGUUAAUUAGAAAAGUUAAAAUUGUUAACAAGGAAAUCAGUAUAAGAGCAGCUCCAUUAGUAGAAUUUUAAGAGUAUCUCAACAAUUUAGAAAAAAGAAGAAAAUAGGAAAGAGAAAGUUAAACGUAUAUGUGCAGGCAUAUUUUGAUUGACACUUUAGAAACUAUCUUUACAUGUGCUAAUGUGUAAUUGUUCUGCUUAAUAUAUUUUAAUUAGAUAAUUUUAUGUUAUUAAAAUAUUAAUAAUUUUGGUUUAUUACUUAUUUCAGUUUUAAAGUUUGAUCAAUUUUAUGAGAGUACUAGAUCUUGAUCCGCGCAACAGCGCAGAUGUUUGCUUUUAGUUUUAUAUACUUAGAUAUUUA
rnacentral:lncRNA from 1 species